ACAACAGCUCUCGUUCUCCUUCCCAUUUCCACUACUUUUUUUUAACGUUCCCUUCAGGGAUUCCCUGUCCCCACCAGGAAUUUUUAACCAAACACCCCAACUUGGCAGCUUUUUCUGUGGAGGACAGACGGCCGGCCGGACCUCUGAGCACAUGGUGUCCUGACCACCCACCAGCUCCUCCAGCCCUGCCGGGCACGUGCCCGGGGGCUCCUGCCCCUCCCAGGCCUCUCCUCCCAGGCCACCCUCACCUCUGUUUGAUAGACUUUGUGAAUCUGUGGACUGCUCUACUUUAAGAAGAUGACCAGUUUGGAGUAAUCAGAAUUAUACCCCCUUCUUUUUAAGGAUUUUUUUUUCUAAAAAGCUAUUUAUCGCUCCUGUUGAAAGACCAGAUCCUUGAAGAAGUUUGUGGUAUGAAAGGAAGUGGGGACAGAUUUGCAGCGCAGAACUCUUUGGCCUGUUUCACUCCUGCUCCUCUCAGCCAGCCUUAGGGAAGGCCGCGUGACACUCGUGUGGUCUGUGGGGGGAUGGCAGCAGUGAAGCGGUAGCCGCCAGGGGGUAGUGGGGGGUGGGGCAAGGAGGGAGGAUCCGGUGGGGUAGAGGUUUUGUAUUGAGGUCAGUGAUGAUGUUUGAUAUUUAUUUCCUGCUACUGAAAUUUGAAUCUGAGUGAAUUGUCCCUAUUUCUGAUGAUGUCGGUAUUGCAAAGCGACAGAUUCAUAAAGUAAUGAUCAAAUCUUCCUUUCUUUCCGUGUGUAUUUCUAAGAAAUAGAGCCAACUGAUUUUGUAUGUAAAUACCAAGAGCGAUUCACCUGGUACUAAACCCGCAUCCCAGUGCGGACCCCUCCCCACCCUCGCCCCACUCCCCUUCCGACUGUCCUGGAACCCAUCCCCAUUGUGUGAUCCAGCCCUGGUUCUGGCUGCGGUCAGCAGAUCCCAGUGAAGGGUUUGUGUGUUUAAGCUUCAUUUCUUUGUCUUUUUCCUACUCUCUUCCCGGCAUUUGCUGAUUCUAGUGUAUACUCUGUAGUCUCAGUCCGUGUUUGAUUCCAUUCCAUGGAAAUAAAAAGUAUGUUGUACAUACUGCUGAAGAAUUGUCUUGCAAGUUAAGGCUUCCCCCUUUACUAUAAGACUAUAAAUAAAAACUUAUUUUAUCCUUCUUGGUGGUGGUGUCUUCUUGCCCUUGCAGAGGCCAAGAUGGUGGAGGGAAGAGCCCUUUGGAGGCCACUGGGCCUGUGGGGGUGCCUGAGAAGGAGCCUGCAGACUGGGAGCAACCAGAGCGGUUCCCUUUUUGUUCGAAGGGCUCAGCCCAGCCUAGCAGGGCCAAGGAGGGUGGAUAAACCACUGGUGGUAACUUUGCUCACUGGAUAGAAGCUUUUAAACCCCAGCAGGGAUGGGGUUAUCCAGGGCAACAUUUCUAGAUCCAGUUCCUGUUAGAUUAACAACCCUUGUGGAGUUGGUAGCCAGAGCUGUGGGUUUGGGUUUCUCCUGGUAACGAAUGUCCAGUCCGGGAGUGGCUGGUAUUGUCCUGGACUUUCAGUUUCCAGAGAGUGCUGGUAUAGUACGAGGAGACAGCAGGACGGCCAUGAGCUGGAAGUCAAGGAGACUUCAACAGCAUCCAGUUGGCUUGCACGGUUGGGGACCAACACUGGCCUGAACUCGUUUGACCUUGAAAGAAAGAGGAUUUAUGGCCAGAAUACAGUUCAGCUUUGGUUUUUUCAUCCAGCUGACAGGAAACAUUGCUGUUCUUAGACCAAUGGAAGGAGAAAAGUCCAAUUAGUUCUUUGAUUUGUCACUUUCUUUGGACUGGUAGUGCUGGUGCUUCUGUCAAUUGGAUGUCAAGUCUAUAGUGUCUCUGGUUAAUGGGAGUUGACAGGUGGUGAAUCAUGUUUUCUAUAAGACGUAUUUGGUAACGUGAUCAAACCAAGCCCUCCAGACUAUGAUCGUAAUAAGAAAAACAAGGAUCUGGGUGAGCAUCUCAUUUAUUAAAGGUGUUCCUCUUCAAGACAGGAAAGAGAUGGGAAUAAGGAAAGAAAAAAAUGGCAAAGAGAAGUCAGGUGAUUUUAUCAGCCUCAAAGUUUACCUGCUUUCUUCCUCUUUCAUUGCCCUUUACUAUAUCUCUUUGUGUGUCUGGGCUUAAUUAUAAAUUCCACAUUACGCACAGUUGGCUUGGUCGGGGUGGACCUUAGAACCGAGCUGCAGGAGCAGCUUUGUUGGUGAGGAGUUGGAAGGGGUGUGAAGCUGGGCACCCUGCAGACAGGGAGCAAACAGGGUAGGUGAUGUCCCUGAGGGCCAGUCCCUGGCUCCAGGAUAUUGGCUGGACAAGGGUUUGAGUUUUAGGCUCCUCAAAAUUUCAAUAAAUCUGUUGGAAGAAAAGGACCAAGGAUAGCUGAUUGACCUGGGAAAAUCCAAACAACCUGACUGACCUGCUGAGCAGACCGACGAGUGGUGGAGAGGAGGUGGAGCCGCUGGGAGAAGCUGCCUGGAGAGGAAAAUCAGGUAAGAGACCCUGGGCUGUAGACUGACCUCGCUAAAGGGGACCGAUGAAAGCCACAGCUAAGUUCCUUCUAGUACGCGUGUCUAGGAAGCCAGUGCAUGUCCCCCCAGGUCACCAAAGUUUGACCAUGGUUCACUCACAGCAGUGUUACUCUCCACGGUUGGUUCUCGGGGCUGCACUCUGGACAAGCGAAGCCAGCGAAGCUUGUCUUGCAGUGAUGAGCUUGGUAUUUUCCUACCAUUACAAUUUGCCGCAAGGGUAUUUAUUAAUGGUCCAGUUUUUAAAUUUUUUGAUAAUGCUAAUCCCACAUGUAGGCUUUGGCAAAGAACUUCCUCAGCUCAAAGCUACCUACCAGCCUUCAGAAAGGUUUAAAAAACAAGACGAGUAGAUGAUAGCCUUGAACAUGGACUGAAGUAAGCAGAAUUCGAUUUCUAAUAAUAGAGUGUGAUGUUUUCUGCUUGGGCUCUGAAGUCAGACUGCCUGGGUUCAAAAUCCUGGCUCUGUCGGUAGCUGGGUAAUCUUGGGCGGGUUACUACUUCCCUCAGCUACAGUGUCCUCAUCUAUAAAAUGAGGAUAAUAAUAGCAUUAACCUCAUAAUGUGGUUGUGAGGAUUAAAGGAAAUAACGCUUAUAUUGCGCUUGACCUCAGGACCAAGGAGCGCUCAGGUGCCAGCUGUCAUUAUCCACACAGAGCACAUGACCAGGACUGACUCUACAAGAUGGAAAAAUACAGCUCCUGCAGCCUUCCCUGGAGCAUGUGAAGGUGGACUUCUUCGUGUCUCACAAAUGCUUCCCGCCCCUGAGAUGUGCCCUGUCCAUCCAAGGCAGGGUGACUAGAGACAGCAGGGCCCCCAGGACUAGGCUAACACACUCAUUCGAAACCAAAGAGUGUACCUUAGAUUGGUGUCAGCUGAGCUGUGUCAUCCCCCUCUGCUACUCAGCAGCAUCUCUGAACUUUGAACAGUGUUCUGCCCUACGGAAUUGCCCAGAAGCCCCUGUGGCGUUGUUACGUAAAGUGGGUCCUUUGGCUAUGCCCUGAGGUGCCCGUGAAGAGGACUCCUGGGCUCCGGCUCCCCUGACCUACAGAGUACCGUAGCCCUGCAGCCAGAAUCAGGCUGGUUCACACGCUCCCCCAGGUGCUUCUCAUGGGCUCAGGUUUAACUACCAAAAGUACAAUCACCCAGGAGCAAAAGGAAGCCGCUGGGGAAAGUGAAGCAUGGCUGAACUGAGUUAGUAAGCUGGGUCCGAGGCAGGGCUCUUUAAGGCUGUACUUGGGGAAAAGGAGGAGGGGAGGAGACUUGUUAAACAGUCUGAUUAAUAGGCUGCCUUGACAGUGUUUCUCUUCUGCCAGUGGGGUUCAAACACUCUCGAGGGCUGCCUAGCCACCUGCUUUUGCAGCCCCAAGCAAGGGUGAUAUCACGGGGAAGCACCCAUUUUUAUGCCCCGCACUGGCUGUCCUCUUUCACCAGGCAGAUUUGUAAGCCAGCUGGAGUAAGGCUAUCUCACAGGCCUGUUUGCCAGAGUCCAUUCUGGACAGCCUCUGGGAACGUGAAACUAGAGCUUUUCUUUGCUCAAAACAGUUUCUCUAGCCUGAGAAAGGAGCCCAGGUAGGGAAAAGGAGUUUGUCAGCCUCUACGUUGGGUGCACAGUGGAAAAACCAUGGUAGGUACUAGGACCCUUCUGAAGCACUGCUGAAUCAUGACUGAGCAAAGACAGAGUGUCCAUCAGUUGUGGGGUUCCAUAGUUUAGGGUUUACUAAGGCACAGGCUUAAUCCAUACAUCCCACGCUCUCCCUGGGAAAGGGAUAACAAAGUGUAUUCCAGUUAAUUUCUCAGGUAGAAAAUCAAAUUGGCCCAGUGCUCACUCCUGGACCAGUUUGGAGAAGCAGGCUUAGCUGUCCGCUGGACUGGAGUGACGACAUCAGACAGGCCCCUGCUUGAGUUCUGGAGGCUCUCCCAGUGAACGUCAUCACCCAGCUGUAAAUUAAAGGCCAGAGAAAAAAAAGGAAAGAAAAGAAUCAAGGAUCCAAUGUUAAAUCUGUGCCAGAACCUUCCACUCCAAUGCUGAACAUGGUGAGAGUGUGAGACUCCUGCCAAGAAAAACAGAAAGCUGGCGGCUACCAUGGCAGGCCCGUGGGGAAAGAGCCUGGCCUCAGGCUCCCAGUGCAGCCAGCAGAGAGGCUGAGUGGAGGCUGUUUGUGAAGGGAAGGUGGGCCAGAGCCUCCACUCUGCAUGGGCUGGAUCACCAUUCACUUGCCACCGCGUUCACUGGCCACCAUGGUGUCCAGGCUCCCAAGAGAGAGAGGAGAGACUCGAGGGGUGGAGCCCAGCACAGCGUGAGCCUUCCUCAGGAGCACAGUGUGGGUCUCCAGGGGACUCGUGUCAUUGUCACCUUUGUCACCCCCGCACUGAGGGGCCACUGCAGGGUACUUAACUGCAGCCCUGCCGGGUGCUGGUCAGCACACCCAGGGAGCAGCCCCUGCAGCCCCAGGGGCCACCCAGCCUUCCCCUUGAGAGGGCUGGGACCCUGAGCCUGCUCCGACUCUGGUAGCUGAAGUCCCAGGAUAACUAAUGUCAAUGCCUUUUAUUAUGAAAAGAGUUUAAUGUGACCAAAUGCUAAGAGAGUGGUAUACUGAACCCUAAAGUGCCCAUUAUCCUGUGUCAACAACUACCAGCACGCAGGGCUUCUUUCCUUCCUUUUUGAGCGUCCCUCUCUGGAGGGGUAACACACAGUACUUCUUGAAAGAAAAGGGAUGAAAAAAAGCAUUAUUAUUAUUAAAGUAAGAAAGUGUGUGUAUGGCAAAGGGACACAGGAGCCAACUGGAAGAGCUCCUAAUGGCCAAAGCUGGAACAGUUUGAGCAAUAAAAUAAUAUAGUACUGGGACAUUGAUAUAUAACCCAAAGCAUAAAUAUUCAUGAGUGCACACUGAUAUAAAUAAAUGAUUGAAUAAAUAAAUAAAUGGAGAAUAGACAAACCUGCCAAAUGAAAGAAUUCUGAAUAAUUUAUGUGGAGCAUAACUCCUCAUUCCUUAGGUGUGGGCUGCGCACAUGGACGUCCUUCUAAAGGGAACAGUGUGGAAAGGGGAAGAAAGAGGAACCUUGUGGUGAAACCUGACAAACACUAACUCAGCCAGUGGCCAAGGUUAACAGCAUCAGUGAUAAGCCAUGUGGGUAGCAUGUACCAUUGACAGGAUGUGACCAGAGGACACUUGACCUCUGUGGUCUUCCUCAUAAAAACCCAGAGUCCCAGUCUACUCAUGAGAAACAAAUUCACACAAAUCCCAGUCAAUGGACAGUCUACGAAAUACGUGACCAGUCCUCCUCAGAACUGUCAAGGGCACCCAAAAGGAGAGUCAGAGAAACUGUCACACGCAAGAGCAUCCUGAGGAGACAGGACCACUAAAUGUAGUGAGGUGUCUUGGAUGGGAUCCUGGGACAGAGAAAGCACGUUAGAGGAAAACUAAAGAACCUGAAUAAAUUAUGGACUUUAGUUAAUAAUAACAUACCAAUGUUGGUUCAUUAGUUGUGACAGAUGGACCACAUUGACAUAAGAUGUUAACAAGAGGGGAAACUAAGGGGUAUAAGGGAACUCUGUGAAAGUUUAUUUUGAAGAAUGCAUUGUCGUAAUUUUUCAACAGCUGUAUUUCUGCCGGGGGGCAGACUAACUUCACUGAGCUGGGCUGGCGAUGAGCACUCUGUCCUGCCUGCCUGAUUUUGUUCUUGGAUGUGCCCAAGAAGUAGGAGAGGGGACCAUCAGCUUCCCGGCCCCAACCUCUGAACUUCCUAUACCAGCUGGUGAAAAGCAGAGGCAAGGAGGUUAUUGUGGAGAAGUGAAAGAGGAUGUCCAGGAACCAGUUAGGCGUGCCGGGCUGGGCUGGAGAAGGCUGGCUGCCACUGGGGCUGUGGUCAGGUCCCGGGAAGACUGACUCACCGUGGCCUUGCCUAUGAGUCAUGCAGCAUAACACCCUGCACUGGGGUGGCACGCAUUUGGUGCAGGGAGCGUUGCUCUACACCAGGGACCUGGCAGAAUAUGGGGGAUGGGUUAAAAGGGUGAAGCGAGCCUGCCCCUGCUCUCUGCUGGCACUAUUCUUGUCCUGGUGAAAGAUGGGGGCAGGCAUUCGGGGCCUCAGUCAUCCACCCCUGGAGGGAACUCAUGCAUGCUCAGCUACUGCUCCCAUCCUCUGAGACCACCCACUUCAGAAACCUGGCGUGGUGGAAGCACAUGGGCUUUGAAAGCAGCAGAUCUGGGUUCACGUUCAGACUCCACUGCUUGAUAGCCGGGAAGCCUCAGGUGAUUCAGUUACGCUCUCUGACCUGU